rnacentral:pre_miRNA from 7 species
CUUCAGAGAUGUGGGUGGUCACACCAAUCCCGGACAAGCCCCCAAUGAAAGACCUCCAAAGGGAGACCCUCACUCAAGUCUCAGGAUAAUAGCGGAUUCCUAAGAACUCACAAGAGACC